rnacentral:pre_miRNA from 1 species
UUCCCUUUGUCAUCCUAUGCCUGGAAGUCAAAAUGGGGCAGGGACAGCAAAGGGAUGA